rnacentral:rRNA from 1 species
UACGUAGGGUGCAAGCGUUGUCCGGAAUUAUUGGGCGUAAAGAGCUCGUAGGCGGUCUGUUGCGUCGGCUGUGAAAACCCGGGGCUCAACCCCGGGCCUGCAGCCGAUACGGGCAGACUAGAGUUCGGCAGGGGAGACUGGAAUUCCUGGUGUAGCGGUGAAAUGCGCAGAUAUCAGGAGGAACACCGGUGGCGAAGGCGGGUCUUUGGGCCGAUACUGACGCUGAGGAGCGAAAGCGUGGGGAGCGAACAGG